CCACUGCUGGGGUGAGCACACAGCCACAGCAACACCCGAGCAGAAGUGACCCAGGCAAGUCCAGCAGUUUUGUUAACCAUCCCACAAAGAAGCCAUACCACACUGCUUGGCUGCAAUUAUUUUAAUGGAAAAGACUAAAUUAAUGUUUUACAUAAAUAUCAAUUAGUGAUAAGUCAGUUGAAUAAGUAAAGGAAUACAUACCCCCAAGGUUUAAAGGCUCAUAAUGAACUGAUAAGGUAGCACACAACGACUACAAGGAAUCACAGGAGGUGGGCUGCACUUCAAUCACCUUCAUCAAGUUCAACUGCUAAUCAAAUGAGGCUAUUAUUGGAGUCAGUCAUAGCAUCUUCCCAUGCAACAAAGACAUGUUCAAAGGAGAAAAGUGAACUUCAGAAACACCUUUCUGUUUUCAGUAGAAAACCCCAACUGUUGAAGUACAAAAGCCUCUAGGUAGUGGUCCACUGAUGUCAAGCCCUUUUGGGGUCUAGUUUCAGGUGUGCAGUGUACCCCUCAGACCGAAAACUGGAACAAAUACACAGGUUGUAUCGGACAGCAACGUGUGCGCACAUACCAAGGUCGGAUCUUGCUAAUUUCUACAGCAUUGUAAGGAAGUGAAAUCAUUUUUACUCCGAGGCAGGCUUCAGCCAUAGGGAAAAGGGGAGGCUUUUUAGUCACUAAGUUUCAAGUGAGUAGAAGCUGCAGCACGAAUGAUGCAACUUCAGUUUUUCCAUGCAAACUGACAGGAGUGAUCCACGUUUCCAUCCAACAUCGCUUUCUUUCCUACGAACUCAAAACGUAAAUACCUCGUGAGCUGUAUGUCCAUGGCUACAGGGAGCAGAAUUAUUGGAACCCUCACUUUCAUACUCAGCAGUAAGAAAUUUCACAGCUAAAACACUAAAAUUGAUCAGGCAGUGGGAUCUGCAGUUUGCAAAGCCAGUGCUUCCCAAUUAAAAAAGAAAAAAUAUAUAUAUCCAAUCUGAAGAGAAGGAAUCUAAUUCCCCAAAUACUACCUUUAAAUGCCACCUGGCAAGGAUGCCUGCCUUCCACUGGCUUAGUCAAUAAAAGUUCAUCAUGACUUACCUAAAACCACGUUACCAACUCUCCUGUCACGUGCCAGGUUCCACAACUGAGGUAUUCAGAAUUUAGACUACGCAUACUCAGCUGGGAGACACACCAAUAUAAGAUGCAAAAGAAACCUUUACAAUUAGCAACUGCUCAACUGAAAACAAUUAAUUUCAAGCACAGCCUAAGCUACCUCGCAACCCCAGUAAGCUAGAAUCCAACUCAUGUCAAAGUUGUGGCAGCUGAAUGUAAAUGCAACGUUUCUGAAGUGGAUGGCAGAGGUGUAUGAUUCACAGCACCACAGAGAUUUUGCUUUAUACUUGCACUGCUUUCAACAUACUUCAAGUGAGAGCCCAUUAAGGAAGAUGCAGGUAAUCCCAUAACAUACGAAUUGACUAACAUCUCUAUAGUGUCAGAUUGCUUAUGCUCAGUGGGUUUACAUUUCAAAAUCAAUCAUAACAAAAAGACGUAUUUUGCACCAUAACUCUGUUAUACGAAUAUUUCUUUUUCUGUUCUAAUUUUAAAAGAGAAAGCAGACCGCCAAACACCAACACGAGAAUUCAGCUGGCUGCAGUCACUCAGCAUGAUGUGCGAUUCGUCAGCAGGAAGGGGACAAUUCCAAUGCCUCCAGUUCUUCACAUCUGCAGAGUGGUGCGAUACAGCCAUUUCUCGUUGUCUCCAUUGAGUUUCAUACAGGCAAACAGGUCGCAAACCGUAGGAAGGCCAAACUCUUGUGCUUUCUUGUGUAGGAGCCAUUUAUCUUCCACUGGAGGCGGGUUAUCAUUUUCUAGGUUGUUUGAAGCCAAUACCCAACUGUUUACAUUCAAGGGGUGGUGGAAUGGAGCCAAGAGGUCCACAAAGGGACUUCUGGAACUACUAUUUACUUUCUCUCUGCUUGCCUUCUCAUCUGCACUUUCUGCUUUGUGCUCAGACUUGGCUAGCCAGCUCGUCAGAGGCCUUUCAAGCAGUACUUUGAAGGGUUCUGCUAUCUCUGCUGAAUAAUCCACUUUCUCGGCGCUAACAGGUUCCCCUGAGAGCUGUUGUGAAGGGUUAAGCCAGGAACUGACAAGAGACUUUGUCUUCUCAUGCUCUACGUUUGGUACAGCUUUCUGGCUUACUGGAACUCCAUUUUUAUCCUUCCCUUCCUUCUUCAGAAGCCAUUUACACAGAGCCUCUUUUCCACAGUUUUCAUCACACACACAUUCUGAGAAGCUGCUACACAGCUCAUUAGCUUUGCACACAUCUUCCAUUUUAAAAGGGGGCUGGGGGUGCUGAAGAAGCCAGGCAUUUACAGCAGAUGUAGUGGGUAACUUCUUUCCAUCGAGAUGCUCAUUCAGGCACUUCAGGUUUCCCAGGUUCUCAAUUUCCACACUUUUGAUCUGGCUGCCACGACAACUGGUACACGUUUCAGCUUUGAGGAGCCAAUCAUUGCAAUUAAAUUCUUCCCUAAAAGGUUUAAAUUCAUACUUCCAUUUCUCAUCUGAAGCGCUACCUCCGUUUUCCACGCCAGGUGUAAGCAGCCAGUCGGAAAGGUCCACCUCCUCUUGCACAAGGGAUUCCAAUUCCUCCACCUUUUUUUCCAUGGAAAAGGAUGAGUUGGAAGUCAAGGUGGAGUCCUUGUGACCAGGGGCAUCUGUCUUCCCAGCAACGUCAUGCUGCUGAUUGCGCAGGAGCCAGUUUUCCAAAUCUUUCAAGUUUCCCCAGGCUCUUUCAAAAUAGCAGACUUUGGAAGAGCUUAAAUCCUAGUAAAGACACAUUGAAAAGCAGUUAUUGACACUAAAAAAACGUUUCACUAACUGCUUGCAUAGUCAUAGCUUCAAAAUUACAGGAGAUUUAAGUUCCACCACAUUCCACCUGCAACCAUUCUCUCCUUACGAGGUUAGUGCAUAAAUGGCAUACCUGGCUGGGUUCUGACACAGAUUUCUGGGUCACCCAUUCCUCGAGAUUGGUGCUGGGAAUAUAUGGAGCCCGGCAAACAUCCACAGGUCUGCUUCCAAGCAACCAGUCAGCAAGCGAGGUGCCCACUGUCCCACACAGUGUUUUCUGCUGAUAAAGAAACAUUGUUGGUUAUCAAGUUGUCUAAUUGCUGAAGCAAUCAAAGGUGAACAUCCAAAUGAACAUUCAGUACACGUCAGAACUUCAGAACCAGUAUUUCUUCUAGUUAGCAAAAACAGAUCUUCACUCAUGUGUAUGACUUCAAGCCACUGCACCAAUUGUUUUGUGAUACGAGGCUGUUCAGAGAGCAAACAAAGGGAAGUGACAGCUUCCACAGUGCAUAAUCUAGUCAUAACCCCCUAAAUUUGACCACACUUCCAUUUCUAAUUUGCUGCCCUCCAAAUCUUU
rnacentral:lncRNA from 1 species